AUUGAACGCUGGCGGCAUGCCUUACACAUGCAAGUCGAACGGCAGCGGACCUUCGGGUGCCGGCGAGUGGCGAACGGGUGAGUAAUAUAUCGGAACGUACCUUUCAGUGGGGGAUAACGUAGCGAAAGUUACGCUAAUACCGCAUAUUCUGUGAGCAGGAAAGCAGGGGAUCGCAAGACCUUGCGCUGAUUGAGCGGCCGAUAUCAGAUUAGCUAGUUGGUGAGGUAAAGGCUCACCAAGGCGACGAUCUGUAGCGGGUCUGAGAGGAUGAUCCGCCACACUGGGACUGAGACACGGCCCAGACUCCUACGGGAGGCAGCAGUGGGGAAUUUUGGACGAAUGGCGGCAAGACCUCGAUCCACG
rnacentral:rRNA from 1 species